rnacentral:lncRNA from 1 species
GUUUCUCCUGACCUCAGAAGCUGCUCGUCCUUCCUAGGUCACCUUGCUCAACCUGAUCUCAAAAUGUUGGGUCUGCCUCCUGCACCUCCUUUCUUAUCUUACUCUCUCUGUGGUUACAACUUAACCUUCCAGUUCAAAUAUAAUCUCUAUGCUAAAAAUAUCUGUCUCUUCAAGACCUACCUUAUAAAUUCUGAUAAUGCAUAUGCCUUUAGUCCCAGCACUGGGAUGCAAGAUCAGCGGAUCUCUAUGAAGUCAAGGUCAACCUGGUCUACAAAUCAAGCUCCUGACCAGCCAAGGCUACAUAGUAAGACACUGUCUCAAAACAACAAUAACAACCAAACAACAGUAGAAGGAGACAACUGACUUUUGCAAGGUAUUCUUGGGUCUAAACACACACACACACAAAUAAGUUUUUAAAGAAUGUAAUAAAAAAUUUAACUUUACAGCAAUAGGUAA